UACGUAGGGGGCUAGCGUUGUCCGGAAUCAUUGGGCGUAAAGCGUGCGCAGGCGGCUUUGCAAGACAGAUGUGAAAUCCCCGGGCUUAACCUGGGAACUGCAUUUGUGACUGCAUGGCUGGAGUGCGGCAGAGGGGGAUGGAAUUCCGCGUGUAGCAGUGAAAUGCGUAGAUAUGCGGAGGAACACCGAUGGCGAAGGCAAUCCCCUGGGCCUGCACUGACGCUCAUGCACGAAAGCGUGGGGAGCAAACAGG
rnacentral:rRNA from 1 species